CCGCCGUUUCUUUAUCCCUUCUCGGUCGCGGCCUUGAGGCGGCGCCGAUCUCCUGGAGAACCGAGUCACAGCGACGAUAGGCAUGGAUCCUGACCAGGCCUUCCCCGGCGGCGACCACAGCUUCGAGUUCGCAUUCGACUCCAGCAACUUCUCCGGCCGCGUGCUUCAGAUCGAGAUCAUGGCGGGGCCGGCCACCUCGAACGGAGGGACGACGGCGCGAAGGAGAAAGGUGAUGGUUCACAAAUUACCAACUCAUUAAGUGUGGGUUCUUCUCAUAUCCUUAGAGUUAAAUCCGUUUACAUUAGUUCUGCCAUACUGGCUGCAAAUAGCCCAUUCUUCUAUAAGAGGAAGCUGCUUUCAUGGACCUUCUAGGCUUUAUAAUCAGCAGAAGCUUUUCAACUACCUCUCCGGCCCUCCUCCUGGAUGUGUUGAUGGGCUGUGGAUAAGCUCGAGGUUGUUUCUUGCAUGCGGUAUUGUAGUCAGUAUCUUAGAAGCUUGCCUAUGACCACAGAAUCUGCAUUACUCUAUCUGGAUCUCCCUUGUAGCAUUUCAAUGGCCUCGGCAGUCCAGCUUUUAACCGAUGCAGCUAAGGAUUUCUUUGCUAAUAGUUUCAGGGACACAACCAAGUGUGUCAACAUUUAGAGGCAAGAAACACAAUCCAUGUGCAAAACUUUUUACAUAUUUUGUAACUCUGGAAGUGGACGUUGGAUCAGCUUUACAGUAGAAUGCAAGUUUGCCACAACAUCGAAGCCAUCAGGAGCAUUUGUGAGCAAAUACAAAGGCUUCUAGGCUUUCACAGGUGCGAAGGCCGUGGGCUACAGGAACCUGUUUGCCAUACCGUGGGCUUCCUUUAUUAGCAAGGAUAGCCUCUUCUUCAUCAACGGCACCCUUUGGUAGGGAGCUGAUUUGACCAUCAAGCAGCCUCAACCUCCGUCCCUGCAGUAGUACAAGUUCUCUUGAUUGUUGGAUUAAAGUUUACAUCUCAUGGAAGUCAAGGUUGUCAUUUCUUGGAGGAGUAAAAUGCCAUAUGCUGUAAUGAUAACAGUAAAAUGUUAUAUAUCAAGGAGGUCAAGAAAUCUGACCCUGUAAAUGUCUCUGAUUUUUCUACACACCUCAUGAAAGUAUAGUCGGUCUGUGUCACAGAAAUCCGAGUUUGGUGUGGAGUUCCAACCUAAUUUGUGUAUAUGGAAUUCUUAAUUCAUGCAAGAAUUCAUGAUCUUUUCAUCA